CCAAAUCAAUGAUCCAAAAGAUGAACUAAACAAUUUCGACUUGGAACAAAAAUGGAAAUGGAAAUGGAAAUGCAAAUGCAGUAAUUUUCUUUUGGUAUGAUCAAAUACAUGAUUACGGAUUGCACAGAUUGUGAGAAGAAGCAAAUGCAAAACCAAUCCACGAAGAAGAAGAUUCAACAAUUUCCGAAGAUAAAUCACGAUAUGCGAAAGAAAAAAUCAAAUCUCCCAAACAAAAAAUCGUAAUUAGCAGGCUUGGUUCUACUAGAAUAAUCGUUUAUAGAUUUUAAUUU